rnacentral:rRNA from 1 species
UACGAAGGGGGCUAGCGUUGCUCGGAAUGACUGGGCGUAAAGGGCGCGUAGGCGGAUGGCACAGUCAGAUGUGAAAUUCCCGGGCUUAACCUGGGGGCUGCAUUUGAUACGUGUUGUCUAGAGUGAGGAAGAGGGUUGUGGAAUUCCCAGUGUAGAGGUGAAAUUCGUAGAUAUUGGGAAGAACACCGGUGGCGAAGGCGGCAACCUGGUCCUUGACUGACGCUGAAUCGCGAAAGCUAGGGGAGCAAACGGG